UUUUAAGGUCUUUUUGGUUUUUAUGUUGUUUCUGGAAAUUUUCAAAAAUUAGUUAUGGCUAGUUUUAAAACUACAUACCUCAUUUUACUCGUAAUAACUCAUAACAACGCCACCAUCACCUAAAACAAACAGUGUGCUGACAUCCUAUUAAAUCAAAACCUAUUAUGACAUUUUUAAUACAGAGUUUAGCUUACAGACUAACAUUGAUGGAUAUUAAGAUUAAUUGAUGUUUACUCAGGUGAUGCACAAGUCCAAUUAAGGAUUUUUUUAUUAUUAUUAUUCUACAAAAGAGUACAAUCCUACCAUAUAGUAUCAAAAAAUUAAAUGAAACAAGCUAUAUUAUGUUGAAUCAAGAAAAAGCAAACAAAAAUAAUUCUUUUCACUCGUAUUAAAGCUAUAUCUUUAGCUAAUUUAGUAGCACAAAACAAGCAAUGUUAUGUCGAUAAAUAACAUUGUAUGAAUGUUGGUCAGACUUACAGACAACAUUAGGCACCUAUUCAUAGUGACUAAGUGAUUACAGUGAACACACUCAGAAAUUCCUAGUAUUAAUGUAUUUGCAAUAAAACAUCAAGAAUAAUUCAAAGGAUAUUAUACAAUAGCAACACCUACUUCGUAAAAUAUUAAAAAAAUGUUAUUUUCCUCUGUAAAGAUUGCAGAUCAACAAACCAUAGAAAUGUGUUUUCUUUAUACAUAACCGCUGUUCAAACUUGCUCAAAGCAAUAAACCAAUUUUAUACAACCAAUUUGUCACUAUUAACAUAUAUGUAUUAAGCAAUGAAAUAACUACAAAUUACUACCGAUCCUAAGAAUUAUUAAAAAGUAUGCUGUUUCGCAAUAACUAAAAAUCUUAGGACUUACUAAUAAAAAUUAAUAUGUGCAAUCAUAUAAUCAGAAUCAUAAGUACAAUGCUGUAAAGUACAAAUAACUGGAUUUGACCUAUUUUACAAUUUUACAUCAAUAAUGAUAAGUCAUUAUAAUGGUACUAGAGCACACAGUUGAAUUUAUGAAACAUUAACUUACCAAGUAUGUAACAAGAAGGCCAUGACCAAAUUAAGGACCAGAUCUAUGUUAAAGAAACAUAGACCUGGGAUGUCACAUGUAAGGAAAUCCUUAGCAUGGCAUAUUCAGAUGUACUAGAGUCGCAGAGUUCACCGUUUCUUUACACAUCACGCUUCUACAUUAUACUUGUUAUACUUGAUUCAAAUAAAGUAAAUUAACUAUUUGCAAUUACACUUCAAUUAAACAAUUAAUUCACGUCAACCAACUGGUGAUGGAAAGUAAGCACACUACGACGAGUGAAAUUCCUACUAUGCCUAGUGACAAAUCGUAGUUGCGACCGAGCGAGUUUAAUAGGUACCUCGAAUAUUUUUGGACUAGUCACUACCUACCUUCUAGCUCACUCAUGAAUAUGUUUUCCGACAAGCAGAGAGUAAAUUCGCUCGCAAUCAAAGAUUUAAUGAGUACCUAAUGCACAUAUAUAACGUAUAACUUUUUGUUACUUACCUAGCUGCAGGAAUACAAAAUAAAAAAAAACAACAACCGCUCAUCAGACAUGGGUUGUGAAUCACGCAUAAACAAUUAACAAACUCGCGACCAUUACCGCACAUUACGCUCCUCUUGAGUAGACAGUAGAACACCUUAAAAAGUUAAAACCAGGUAUGGAUAUUAUAUAUUUUUAUGGCGGAGAUAACAAUACAAUAUAGUGAUAAACUGAUAACUGAUAAUGAUAAUAACGAAUAUAAAUUAUUAUUUUAAAUAAAAAAAACCGACAUUAAAAGUGAACAAAAUAGUAAAUACACAAUAAAAAACAAAAAAUUAUAUUCUAAGAUUCUUGAAACAGUAUCAAAUCGCCUACAAUACAAUUCAAAUAAUGAUUUCUUCGACAUUCGCCAGUCGAACAACGUAUAAGCAACUACGAAUGGUGAAUGAUUAUUCUCAAAUAAAUAAAUGAGAUAAAUUUAAUACUUACGUGAAUGGAUUCCAUAACAGGAUAUCGGACUAUCGGAGCAUGUAGCAACAUCAAAAAACCUCGGACCGGCCUGAUAAAUACCAACACAAUUGACAUUCUACAAAGAGAAUCAGCAACUACCGCAAUAACAACUACAGCUGCAUGUUUUUCACACAAGUAUGAAUCAAAAAAAUAAAUGACGGCGUAACUAAAUAAAAAAUUUGAUAGUAAAGACAAACAAAUGGAUAUUUCAGGAUUAUCCAAACAGCAGUUAAGGAGUAAUCAAGAAAAAUAUACAUCAAGCAGUGCCCGACAACAAAAACGAAAACCAUCAGACCAAGAAUCCCACAAUGGUCGAAAUCAGAAUCGAGCCAAUAAGCAGAACAUUAUUUUAUUUUUUUAAUACAUAAUCCACAAGAUUAACCAAAACCAUUGUAUUGUCCUAUUAGACAUUGCAUAACAAAUAAAACUAUAUAACAUAACUAAAUAUAACAGAACUUUUAAAACAA